rnacentral:rRNA from 1 species
UACGGGGGGGCAAGCGUUGUUCGGAAUUACUGGGCGUAAAGGGCUCGUAGGUGGCCAACUAAGUCAGACGUGAAAUCCCUCGGCUUAACCGGGGAACUGCGUCUGAUACUGGAUGGCUUGAGUUUGGGAGAGGGAUGCGGAAUUCCAGGUGUAGCGGUGAAAUGCGUAGAUACUGGGAGGAACACCGGUGGCGAAGGCGGGUCUCUGGGCCGAUACUGACGCUGAGGAGCGAAAGCGUGGGGAGCGAACAGG